UGCUAGAGUUUUAUUAUUAAGAUUCAGAUUAACAUAGCCACUUUAUUUAUUUAUUAAACUAAGCAAAAGAUAUAUAUAUAUAAGCAUAAAAUCUUUAUUUGGUUUUCCAUAGUUAUGUAUAUUUAUAUUUUAAUAUAGUAUAAGUAUAUAGAUAGAUAGAAAUACUUAGCGGGAUAAAUGGGUGUGCUCUCCCCAAGCUGAAUUUUGACGUAAUUUCUUUUCAUGUAGCUAGCAGGUGGCAGAGGUGUAUUUGAAAGUCGGCAGUAUUUUGACAGCGAUUAGAAUGUCCUCUGUCUACUAGUCUUCUUAAUUCUUAAAUUCUGUGGAGCUCAAAUAGACAACAAAGCUUUGUGGAACUGAUUAAGUGUUAGCAUAAAUAUCUAGCCUUUAUCAUGUUGAGCCUCCUCAAUAAAUGUUACUUCCUAUUUUUAUUUUUUCAUUUUAUAGAGCAGAAAAAUAUUUAUUUUAUUUUUAUGCCACCAUAGUAAAUGUACUUAUGGGUUUUAUGCCACUCGUAUACUCACAUGGGGCUUACUAUUUUUAACAUUUUUUUAUUUUCUUUUCAGGAUAAUAUAAACAUGAUUAACUAAGCAAACUAUUUUAAAUAAUUGAAAGGGAAAGGAUAACUACCAAGUUUACCUCUUGGCAAGGCGUUCGGUAUUUUUAAGUCCUCCAAACGGGACUCUCCGUUUUCUCAAUUGUCCUAGGAUUCGUUGGGUGGCGGAGUCGGUACUUCCAGCGGCGCCUCCUCUUCAUGUAUGGUUAUCUUCUCUUUCCACACCUGACUCGGUGCUACGGUCUCCUCAGGAUAGUUCUGUUUAAACUGUAUGUCUUCUGACCUUAUCACUUAUCCUUCAUAGUCUGCCCAUCCGUCCUUGAAUAUUUCCCUCCUCUGGUUGCGGUUGCGUCAUUUUCUGACCUGCUUAGAUUCUUCAACGAUAUAGUUUGGGUCGGUAAAUGUUGACGGUCCUUAAUGCUCACAUUUAACCAUCAACUAAUCAUGGAAAAGGAUCUAAAUGGAACCAACACCUAGACUUAGGGUUUUAUCUGACAGAAUUCCACGAGUUUUGGUGUUUGUCUAUUUCUGCAGGGGGUUAUCAGGAAAUAAGGAAGAAAGGCCCACACGUCGGGUUUACAUAGAGAUAUUAACGUGCCGCGCAAUUUUCUACCAUCUAGAAGACUCCAGAAGCCACGGGAACGAACGGGAGGCCGAUCGGGCCCGGGGGCAGGGCGCCCGCCCAAGUCCCUUGGGUGCCCGCCCAGCUACAGUAACCAAUCAGCUUCAACUUCGCGGAUCGUGCUCCACCGACCUAAGGGACCAAGGAAAACCGUGCGAUUAAUGUCGGUUUGAUCCGACGGCCCAGAUUCACUUGAAGGGACUAUAAAACUAGACACCCUGGCGCCUGGAGAUCAUACCUCUUCUACAGAAUCAAAGCUAGGGUUUCAAUUCUUCAUCCAAGUAGAGAGGAUCCCUCUAGUUCUUCUAGUUCUACCUCUAGUUCAUCUAGAUCUAGUUCUAGUUCAUCUAGUUCUAGUUCUAGUUCCUCUAGUUCUAGUUCUAGUUAGUUCUAGUUGUAAUCUAGAAAAUAGGGAGAGAGAAGAGGAGAGCGGAGGAGGAGCCGGAUCUGUCGGAUCUUCCUCAACAUUGUACUUUUGCAGCAUCUGGUUCGUUCUUCAUCGUUCUCCAGGUUCUUCAACUCAUUACUCCUGAGUUCUCUAAUUACUUUUAUUUACAUUCAAGUUAUUUAUUAGAUUCCCGCUUGCAUCAAGUGCUCUAAUCUUUGAAACAUUAGAGUAGUAAUUAAUAGAUUAGACGUGGUGUUUAGUCUUGCAAUUACCUGGAAUUGCACCCAAUCCUGCGGAUUGUUGUGGUAGCCCUAGGGUAGUGACAGCCCUAACGGUCGACGUAUUCCACCACGUUCGGAUCGGUGUUUGUAGGACCGUAGUCGGAGCUUCCUAGCCCCCUUCUCAUCUCGUUGAGUUGAUCUUGAUAUAGGUCAGCGUUGGAGGGGAAACCACUUCGCCGACAUAAAUUGAUGGCUUCCCAAGGACAAGCUUAGUGUCCUAAAACAAGCACUGAUCAGAUUGUAACAUGAGCUUUUAAUUAUGUGCAACAUUACCUUGUGUAUUGAGCAUAUAAGGAUAAUUGUAAAAGAAAAAUCCUUCGGGUAUUCUUGUCACUAACCUUUCCAGGAUUGGAGCAAGAAGAUCGGAUGAAUGACAAGCACAAGGUAUGUCCAACCAAUCAUCAUACAACAUUGAAUUAAAUUCAUCCAAACUUGAAUUUUGCAAAAUUCAAGCUUGGGGGAGUACUUUACAUAAAAACAUCCUUUGCCAUGUUGCUAUGUUGGUUGUCCCUACCUUUGAGACAUGCUCAAUUUGUUAAAUAGUAAUCACACUACUUCAUCUCCACUUGAGUAGAUCUCUAUAAAUGCUCUCAUGGUACCUUUAUUUGCUUUAGUAUAUGUCUAGGUUUGGAGUAGUCUCAUUUAUCUCUUAAUUAAGCAUGGUGCUUAGUUUAGGAAUGAUGAUAUUACUUCCAAAGGAUUUUAAAUUAAGCAUGAUGCUUAGGUUAAAAUUCCCUCCUAAAUCAAAUUAGACAUGGUGUCUAGGUUGAUCUUUGAGCCGACAGUAUGCUAUAGUAGAUAUUGGAUAUUUUGUUGGACUAACCCCUGCAGGAAAACUUUCAAUAUUGACCUGGGAAGUCCUGAGAUAAACUCACAUUGGAGACAUAGAGAGAGACACAUGAAGUUUAACAAUUUACACAAGGAAGGCAUAUCUCACAAGAGAUGAUCCAUGAAGGGUGCCACAAACACGUUGCACAACCACUAAGAGAGGAAAGCUUCCACAAGGUGAUACUGUACCGUCACUCUUCAAGUAAGGUAACAUCUUAAGGUACUUGACUAUCACUUCUAUAAGCUUCUCCUUUGUUCUGGCGUUCACAUGAAUAAAAGAGACAAACAUUUAUGAUUUCCAACUCUAGAUUAACCAACCCAAUCGAUUCAACAUGUUUAGUCCUUCCAAUGUUGUGAUCCUAUACUCCUAAUCAUAUGAACUAAAAUGUUGCACACUCAAUCUUUGGAAGAUAUGUAUAUAAAAAGAACAUAAGUAUAGAAAGAUUAUAUUUCCAUUAGGUUGAGUGAUCUGAUCUGACAAAUGUAUUUAAUACUACACUCAUGAUUUUAUUAUCCAUCAACUUUGUCUUGCUCACUAUGCUUGAGGUUAGAGAAGAACAAAUACACUUUUGGUUCUGUUGGUGUUUUCCACCAACAGAGCCCAUGCCCUUGAUCUCUGCCUUGUCUCUAUGAGCAGGUACACUUUGAGCAAAAUAUGAAGGACUUUUACAACUCCCAGACUCCACCAAGUGAAGAACCUAGAUCUACGAGCACAAACACACUGAGAGACAAUCCAGGACGCCCUGUCAUCCCGAUCUCCAUCGGCAUGGUGGACUUCCCAGAAGCACUCUGUGACUUUGGCUCCAGCAUCAACAUUAUGCCCAGGGUACUCUAUGAAAAAUUCUUUACACAUCCUUUAUUAGAAACAACCAUGUGUUUGCAGCUUGCAGAUCGUAUGCUAAGUUUCCCAAAGAAAAUAUUGAAGAACCUCUACGUCCGAGUUGGUACCUUAUACGCUCCAGCAGACUUCGCGGUGAUAGAGACUGAUACUGAUGAGAGGGCACCCAUCAUCCUAGCGAGGCCAUUCCUGAACACCUCAGGAGCUGUCAUCUACGCUACUGCUACCAAGAUCAGUUUCUACAUCAAGGGAAGGACGAAGACGUUUUCCUUCAAGAAUAAGACUACACAAAUCUCAGAGCAAUCCAGACAUGAACCCAGGAAGAGGACCAACAGGAGGAACAGGAACAAGCAAAUGUGGACCAAGUCAGCUAAGAUAGUCACUGCAGUUCAAGGAGGUCAUGAUCGUCGACUUAAUUCACCUUUCUUGAUCAAGAAGGACGACCCUGGUGUUCCAAGCAUCGAGUGCACAAUCAACGGAUAUUCUUUUCAGAAGACACUCUACGACACCGGAUCUAACGUCAACAUAAUGGCCGCAGUCACUUAUCAGCUCCUGCAUGGAACCAUGUCCGUACAACCAACAUACAUUCAGCUCCAGAUGAUUUUAAGGUUAUUGACAUGGGAGAAGACAAGUACGAUCCACCCAUCAUCCUUGGAAGACCGUUCCUCAGCACUGUUAAAGCAAUCAUCUACAUUGGAACCAGAGAAGUCCACAUGCACUUCCCCUCUGAGAAGGUACGCCACUGUUUUACUAACCCUAACUAUAUAGUUGAAGACUCUAAGCAGGUCAGGACAAGAAGACAACGACACAACCGCAACCAGAGGAGGCAAAUCAUCAAGGACGGAUGGGUAGACUAUGAAGGAGAAGUUGUAAGGUCUGAAGACAUACAACUUGAACAGAACUGUCCUGAGGAGACCGUAGCACCGAGUUAGGUGUGGAGAAAGAAGAUAGUUUUACACGAAGAAGAAGUGCCACCGGAACCACCGACUACGCCACCCAGCGAAUCCCAGGACGACUGAGAAUAUGGAGAGUCCCGUUCAGAGGACUUAAAAACACCGAACGCCUUGCCAAGAGGUAAAUUUGGUAGUUAUCUUUUUCCUUUCAAUUAUUUUAAAAUAGUUUGCUUAGUUAAUUAGGUUCAUAUCAUCUUGAAAAGAAAAUAAAAAUGUUAAGUAAGCCCCAUGUGAGUAUGCUCAUGGCAUAAAACCCAUAAGUACAUUCACUGUGGUGGCAUAAAAAUAAAAUAAAUAUAUUCCUGUCCUAUAAAAAUAAAAUUAUAAAAAUAGAUUUAUGAUCCUACCAAAGAGAGUAAAAUUUAUUAGAAGAAGCUCAACAUGAUAACGGCUAAGAGUUUUUAUGCUAACACUUAACUAGUUUCACAAAGCUUUGUUGUCUAUUUGAGCUCCACAGAAUUCAAGGAUCAAAGAAGACUAGCAGACGAUGGACAUCCUAAUCGCUGUGAGGGUGCUGCCGACAUACCUCCGCCACCUGCUGGCUACAUCAGAAGAAAUUACGUCAAAAUCCAGCUUGGGGGAGAGCACCCCCAUUUAUCCAGCUAAGUAUUCUACUCAUGUUUAUACUUUACUCAAAUAAUAAAAAGAUGCAUAAUCAUGAAAACCCAAAUAAAAAUUUUGUGCUUAUAUAUAUCUUUGCUUAGUUUGCUAAAUAAAUAAAUAAAUAAAGAUCGCUAUGAACCCUCAUGAUAAGCUCUCACAUGGAAAUAAUGAAUAGUUGCUCUGCCAUGACUAGUUCUCAUAAUUGAAAUCUCUCUCAAGUUUAGGCAUGACUGUUAUUAAUUAAGAUUUGCUCUAAACCUGAACUUGUGGGAAGAGUACUUGAUCUAAAGUCUAAGUCGUUAACGGAUAUGAUAUGGGAAGGUUGAGCUGCUAUUUAUCUGUUCCAAGAGAUGCUAGAAUUCUGGAGAACUUUAUCUUUGAAAAAUCUUUAAAAUAUUGCAUGAUGAGUUUCUGUAUGAUGAGAGUUUGAAUUCCUACCACAGCCAUAUAUACAUGCUUGCUAGACUAUGAACCACACAUUUACUUUACUACUUAUGAACAUUGAGUGUGGUCAAGCUGUGUAGACCCUUAGGAGCUUGUCAUGUGGUUAAAUCAAGAUUCACUUACACGUUCACUCACACAUGCUACUUCUACUCCAGAAGUACCAUCCACAUAUAUCCAUCCAUUUCCAUCUCCAGAACCACCCAAAAAUAUUCUACUCCUAAUCCGGGAGAGAAUAGCCAAAAAUAUUUCUGUUUUUCCCCUGUGAAAUAAAUGCUCAAGUUAUCUUGUUACUACCACUUGCUACAUUAUUUCAAGAGAUGAGUGCUCUAAAAAAAAGAAAAAAAAGAAAGAUACGAGGAAAUAAAAAGGGGCAAGUGCCCGGAACCUCGAAAGAAAAGAAAAAAGUGAGACGAGAGGUAAAAAUGGACAAGUGUCCGACAGUAGAAUUAGGGGUACAAGAUACCCGUUUGAGAGAAAAGAAAAAGAAAAUAUAGAGCAUCUCAUUCUCCCUGAAAGUUUCAAAAGAGCAAGAAAGGUAUGUAUCCCCUCAAAAGAGCAUAAGUAGAAUUAGACUUUCACCAUUGUUAUCACCAUCAUCACCAUACACCAUUCAUUCGCCACACAUGCACAUCUUGAUUUGACUUAUUGAUUUGUUUCUUUGGAUCCAUGGUUUGACUAUACAAUACAUGUCUUGUAAGUAUGCAUACUUUAUCUCCCACCUAUGAGCUCCAGAUAUCAAAAGCCUUAUUAGAGUAGGGUGAGAGAGAAGGCAAUGCCACUAUGCCUUAUACCACAAAUACCACAUACUUUGAGAGAAGGCAUACACCAUUAAUGCCUUGGUAAGGAUCCAGAAAUGCCACAAAAGAGAGACUAGAGAGAGUCAUACAAGGAAUCUCUGAGUUUUAUUUGAAAAUCUGCAAAAACUCUAGAGCUAUAGUUAAUCGAAGAACAAGAGACAUGGUGCUUGACUAGUCCGUUCUAUCUUUUAACUACUCAAGACAGAAGUGACGGUUACAAGUCCCAUGGUGAAAGGUAAAGUAAGUAAGUUUUAAGUCUUGAUAGUUUACCCUAACCCAGAGAUGAGAUCUUGUUUGAACGAAUGUGUAUUUUUAAGGCAUAAACCACUGCAGAAACUCUUGAGUCCAUCUUUGCUCAGGGACGAGCAAAGGUUAAGCUUGGGGGAGCUUGUUGACGGUCCUUAAUGCUCACAUUUAACCAUAAACUAAUCAUGGAAAAGGAUCUAAAUGGAACCAACACCUAGACUUAGGGUUUUAUCUGACAGAAUUCCACGAGUUUUGGUGUUUGUCUAUUUCUGCAGGGGGUUAUCAGGAAAUAAGGAAGAAAGGCCCACACGUCGGGUUUACAUAGAGAUAUUAAUGUGCCGCGCAAUUUUCUACCAUCUAGAAGACUCCAGAAGCCACGGGAACGAACGGGAGGCCGAUCGGGCCCGGGGGCAGGGCGCCCGCCCAGCUACAGUAACCAAUCAGCUUCAACUUCGCGGAUCGUGCUCCACCGACCUAAGGGACCAAGGAAAACCGUGCGAUUAAUGUCGGUUUGAUCCGACGGCCCAGAUUCACUUGAAGGGACUAUAAAACCAGACCCCCCUGGCGCCUGGAGAUCAUACCUCUUCUACAGAAUCAAAGCUAGGGUUUCAAUUCUUCAUCCA
rnacentral:lncRNA from 1 species